rnacentral:rRNA from 1 species
AUGCACGCGUGAGAGCAAGUUGCGUGCCUUUGCCAAACCUGUCUGCGAAUGGCUCAUUGGACCAGCGAUAAUCUCAGCAGAGAGUGGAUCCUUCUCGUGAGCGGGGAGUUCGUGCCUUGCCUGGACUUCCAGACCGUCGGAGUUCUGUCUCUGCGGGGGAAGGGAGGAAGGCCUUACUCCGAGGCCGGUUCGGCAUACCCUCUCUUUCUGAAACAGUUGGCUAAUACAUGUGCGAGGGCACUCCUGUCCAUUCCCUCGGGAAUGGGACGGGAUGCACUGGGCUGACCCAAAGAGGGAACUUUGCCGCCCCGGCGGGGGCAAUUUUCCUGGGGUGGAACCAAGCCUUCUGUGGAAGACCGAGGGGGUGGGUGCUGCUCUGGGUGUCUCACCCAGGGUGGCACCGCCCACGAGAACGGAUUCUGCUGCGUAUGGUGCGCUAGUGGCGGCCCUGCGAAGCCCCACUACUCUGCUUGAGUUUCUGCCCUAUCAGCCUGCACGGUGGUCCAGGGGACCACGGCGGCGAUGACGGGUAACGCGGAAUUAGGGUUCGAUUCCGGAGAGGGAGCCUGAAAUACGGCUACUACGACCAAGGUUGGCAGCAGGCGCGCAAAUUGCUCAAUAUCGAUGUGCAUUGGUGAAGCAGCGACGAGGAGUGGUACCUUUUAUCGAUCACUUGAUCGGUACUGGUGGAAUGAAUGACGACCCAAGGAAUGCAGUGAGCAUCCACUUGUGGGCCAGUCUGGUGCCAGCAGCCGCGGUAAUUCCAGCACAAGUGGCCUACUUUGACGUUGUUGCCGUUAAAAAGCUCGUAGUUGGUUGGCAUCCGAGAGAGCCCCGGAAGCUCCCCAGGCCCUGUUUGGGCGUGGUGCGGGCGGAAACGGGCGAUCUUGCGGUGCCCUGCUCAACUCGGGCUGCUCUCGACCUCUGCCCCUUCCAUCAGGGACAUCGGCUCUGCUGUUCCCUCGGGGACAGUCCGGAGGCGGGCAGACGAGGGUGGUUGGGUCUGAGCUUCUCAGUGGGAACGAUUUUCCGAUGAUGGGAGACGGGCCAGGCCCUCACCGCGCAGCUCUUCUGUUGCGAGGUGCUCCGGACCGCCGCCUCUCGCAAACCGCAACGCGGUUAUUUGGCCUACAUCCUGAAGCAAGGCACUGCAGAAUGGCCCGAUGCACCCCUUCUGGCACCGGGCCCCCCCUCGGGGGGGACCGUACCCGGGGUGCAAAAAGCCAAGGAAACGCCCUCUGGUUUUGUACCAUGAGCAAAGCUAAGCGCUCCAAGCAAGUUGUCCUUCCUACCGAUCGGAUGUUCAAGCGUGGCAUAACAAGGGACCGGUCCGAAUGGACCCGAUGUUCUGGCAUUCUUUACUGGCCCGCUUUGGACGAACUUCGCUUCCCUUGGACCAUCUCGGAUGACCCCCCCAGAUCUGGGCCGGUGCCCUGCUGAAGUCCCCGGGACCGGGGUUGAACUCUGGUCCCUCUUCGGCAGGCCCAUCCCUCUGGGGGAAUCAGGCGCCGCCCUGGGCCAGGGAACGGAGGUGUUGACCGAGGUCGUUUCUGUGCUCAGGGGACUGGGCGGCGAGCGGUGAAACGCUUUGACCCGUCUCAGGACCACCAAAGGCGAAAGCACUGAGCAGGACUCGACCUGCCAAUCAAGAGCGAGUGUGCGGUGAUCGAAGAGGAUCAGAUACCCUCGUAGUCCGCGCUGUAAACCGUGCCUACCGAGGAUGCGGGCUGCGUUCCUUCGGAAUGUCAGCCCGUGUCUUUCCCCCGCAACGAGAAAUCCAAGUGUAUGGGUUCAGGGGGGAGUACGGUUGCAAGACUGAAACUUAAAGGAAUUGACGGAAUGGCACCACAAGGCGUGGAGUUUGCGGCUUAAUUUGACUCAACACGGGGAACGUUACCUGGAUAGCACGUGGAAAGGAUAUGACAGGCUGAAGCACUCUCUUCGAUAACUCGGAAAGUGGUGCAUGGUCGUUCCUGGUUGGUGAAGUGAUUUGUCUGGUUGAUUCCGAUAACGAGCGAGGUCUUCACCUUCCAGUAGCCGGCGUUCUCGCUUGCGUAGGGCCAUUGUGUGGUCCCCUCGCGCUCAGUGCUGGCCCGCAAGGGACCCAGGGCUGGGAUGCCGAGGUCGCCAUGGCCUGAGAGUGACGCACCGGUUGCUUCUCAGUGGGUUCAGGCACUUCGUCCUAGACUAAGUGUCUACAACCGGAAGCCGACAGCAGGUCUGUGAUGCCCUUAGAUGCCCAGGGCUGCACGCGCACGACAAUGCCCCCGUGAGCGUGCAGUUAUUCCCCUGUGGCCGUCGUGAUGCCCUGGAACAGGGGGCUCGCCCUCUGGACUGGUGGCUUCACGAUUCCGCAGAGCUAUUCAGGAUACCGUGGUUCGAUGAUGGACUGGGAAAUCCCCGAAGCUGCACUCUCCGGACGUGACUGGGGAUCGGUGAUUGCCACUGUUCUCCUUCAACGAGGAAUGCCCAGUAAGUGCAGGUCAUCAGCCUGCGCUGACUGCGUCCCUGCCAUUUGUACACACCGCCCGUCGUUGCUACCGAUGGCGUUGGGAUAGAGGCCUGAGGAAACUAGUAGCGAGACGCGCCUCCGGGUGCCCUCGUGAACGAAGAAUUCGGCCAAUAUCCCAUUGCUGGAGGAAGCAAAA